rnacentral:lncRNA from 1 species
ACAGGAUCCAGAAUGAGAAUUGAAAGUAAUGGCUGAGCAGUUCGCUGCCGUGUAAUGGCAUGAGAGCAAGAUGAAGAUGCAGAACCAGCAUCUCACAGACGAACAUCCUGCUGAGCCUGACAUUUCUGGAGGUGCUUCCCGACGGCUUGGACCGGACGCCAGGGAUUCACACCCUCUGUUCCUGAAGGUGGAAACCUUCCAAACUGCUGACCCAAGCAACGGGUGGUCACCGCACUCCAAACAACAGCUCCAGUGCACCUGGAGACCAGCUCCAGAAAGCAAGUUAAACAAUGAAAUGGUAAAGUAUCUGAGCAGGCGUGUCCCAGGUGGGAACAGACUUGUAGCCAGGACAAGAGCGCCCCACACACAUGUCUGCGUCUGCUUGUGCAACUGUGCUUUGAAAAUAGAACGUGUCUGAUAUUCAACAUGGAACACCCAGAUGUAAGAUAUAAAAUGCCCGUGCAGGUGCUGCUCACCCGUGCAAUGCUAGCCGCGGCGUGCUGUCAACAGUUCCUUGAUUCCUGAAGCAAACACGUCCCCCAUGUCCCAUACCUUCUAUCAUGGCCAGAGCCCCUGAGCACCUGUAUUCAGGAGCCCUGGACAGGUGUGAGUGCCCUGUGUCUGCGGG